GCGAAUAAGGAACAUCCAUGAUGUUGGGUUCAUUGACCCACAAAUCGUUAAUUCAUAUGUGUUAGAACACCACCCCCGCCGACGUGGAGGAUGACCUGUGGCGGUUUAUUAGAAAACAGAAACUCAAAAGUGAUAUUCUAUUUCCUUACCAUUUUGGGUUCCACUGGAUUCUUAUGGUAAUUCAAGUUCAGACCUCCUCAGUUCUCGUCCACGACUCUCUGAAUAUGGAUCCGGCGCUUUGGGGCGACAUGAGAAAAAUGAUGCAAAAGGUUUGGAGACGGUUCGUAGAUACCAAGGUCGGUGAAUUCAAAAAAAGAGCUACAUUUUAAAAUGGCAGUGCGGACGAUCGGGGAUAUUCAGCCACCGGGGACCAAUCUAUGUGGAUACUAUGUUUGUGAGAGGA